rnacentral:rRNA from 1 species
AGGCGACGAUGCGUAGCCGACCUGAGAGGUGAUCGGCCACAUUGGAACUGAGACACGGCCCAGACUCCUACGGGAGGCAGCAGUGGGGAAUAUUGCACAAUGGGGGAAACCCUGAUGCAGCAACGCCGCGUGAGUGAUGAAGGCCUUCGGGUUGUAAAGCUCUGUCUUUGGGGACGAUAAUGACGGUACCCAAGGAGGAAGCCACGGCUAACUACGUGCCAGCAGCCGCGGUAAUACGUAGGUGGCAAGCGUUGUCCGGAUUUACUGGGCGUAAAGGGAGCGUAGGCGGAUUUUUAAGUGGGAUGUGAAAUACCCGGGCUCAACUUGGGUGCUGCAUUCCAAACUGGAAGUCUAGAGUGCAGGAGAGGAAAGUGGAAUUCCUAGUGUAGCGGUGAAAUGCGUAGAGAUUAGAAGAACACCAGUGGCGAA